CCUACGGGAGGCAGCAGUGAGGAAUAUUGGUCAAUGGGCGCGAGCCUGAACCAGCCAAGUCGCGUGAGGGAUGAAGGUUCUAUGGAUCGUAAACCUCUUUUAUAAGGGAAUAAAGUGUGGGACGUGUACUGUUAUGUAUGUAACUUAUGAAUAAGGAUCGGCUAACUCCGUGCCAGCAGCCGCGGUAAUAAGGAGGAUUCGAGCGUUAUCCGGGUUUAUUGGGUUUAAAGGGUGCGGAGGCGGGCUUGUAAGUCAGCGGUGAAAGUCGCUGGCUCAACCAUAGAAUUGCCGUUGAAACUGGGAGGCUUGAGUGUGUUUGAGGCAGGCGGAAUGCGUGGUGUAGCGGUGAAAUGCUUAGAUAUCACGCAGAACCCCGAUUGCGAAGGCAGCCUGCCAAGCCAUGACUGACGCUGAUGCACGAAAGCGUGGGGAUCAAACAGGAUUAGAUACCCGAGUAGUC
rnacentral:rRNA from 1 species